rnacentral:rRNA from 1 species
AGAGUUUGAUCAUGGCUCAGAUUGAACGCUGGCGGCAUGCCUUACACAUGCAAGUCGAACGGCAGCGCGGGGCAACCUGGCGGCGAGUGGCGAACGGGUGAGUAAUAUAUCGGAACGUGCCCUGGAGUGGGGGAUAACGCAGCGAAAGUUGCGCUAAUACCGCAUACGAUCUAAGGAUGAAAGCAGGGGACCGCAAGGCCUUGUGCUCCUGGAGCGGCCGAUAUCUGAUUAGCUAGUUGGUGGGGUAAAGGCCUACCAAGGCAUCGAUCAGUAGCUGGUCUGAGAGGACGACCAGCCACACUGGAACUGAGACACGGUCCAGACUCCUACGGGAGGCAGCAGUGGGGAAUUUUGGACAAUGGGCGAAAGCCUGAUCCAGCAAUGCCGCGUGAGUGAAGAAGGCCUUCGGGUUGUAAAGCUCUUUUGUCAGGGAAGAAACGGUGUGGGCUAAUAUCCCGCACUAAUGACGGUACCUGAAGAAUAAGCACCGGCUAACUACGUGCCAGCAGCCGCGGUAAUACGUAGGGUGCAAGCGUUAAUCGGAAUUACUGGGCGUAAAGCGUGCGCAGGCGGUUUUGUAAGUUUGUCGUGAAAGCCCCGGGCUCAACCUGGGAAUUGCGAUGAAGACUGCAAGGCUUGAAUCUGGCAGAGGGGGGUAGAAUUCCACGUGUAGCAGUGAAAUGCGUAGAGAUGUGGAGGAACACCGAUGGCGAAGGCAGCCCCCUGGGUCAAGAUUGACGCUCAUGCACGAAAGCGUGGGGAGCAAACAGGAUUAGAUACCCUAGUAGUCC